GAGUAUACCAUUUGAUAACAGAGGAAGAGAAUGGAGUAAUGCAGCUACAAGCGAAAGUACACCAAUGAUUGCUGGCUCCCACUAGAAGCUAGGAAGAGGCAGGAAGGAUUCUAUCCAGAGUCUCAGAAGAAGCAAGACCCCACUGACAUCUUGAUUUCUGACUUCCAGACUCCAGAAAGCGAGAAAAUAUAUCUGUUGUUUUAAGCUAUCCAGUGUGAGGUACUUGGUUAUGGCAGCUUCAGAAAACUAAUACAACAGCAAUUUCAAUUUCUACUUUAUCUUCCUAGCCCCAAGAGUACCAUGUGGCUAUUAGAGUACAGGAUUAUGUAGGCUCUCAAAUCCCUUCCAUGGUAAAAGAAUGAUUGGGCUUCCAGCAGUGGCCAAGAAUUGCCAGACGCUUAUGAGCGCCUGCUGCGAGAUGCUUGUACAGUGAAUGCUCAAUAAAGUGGUGGCCAUUAUAACCGCAAGCAAUGAGACUACAUAAAUAGUAAGAAACGAAAUAGAACAAGGGGCAGCGGGAGCAAAGAGAGAAACAAGGGCAGCUGAGGAAGGAAGCCUCAAUUCCCCGGAGGACAUCCGCGGGCGGAGGAAAUGUGAAUCUGCAAGUCGUUCUCCCAGACCCCGCUUAACGAUUCCCGGCCCUUUCUCCACUCCCUACAGCCCUCGGACCCAGCAACAACCGGAUCCUGUGCAGGUCUUCCCUGAGUCCAACGCGAUUCUCCUGGAUAACGUCAACCAGCUGAGCGAUUCUGAGCCUGCGCGAAGCUCCUCGGCGCUUCCAGUAAUGUCACGCUGGUGCGUGGGGCGGGACUUCCUCUCACGCGCAGGAAACGAGAAGGGCUUUUCCGCCGGAAAGAGAGUGGAUUUACUAGGAAGGUGGGACGUUGGAGGGGUGGCCGCAUGGAGUGAGUACUGUCUCUGGCCACCGAGCAGAGCCAGUGACAGCAGCGUCCUGGUAGGCAGGCAGGCGUAUCAGGUUUCAGAGGAUGCGGCUGGGAACGGGAGUAGAGGUAUAUGAGCUCCCUGAAAGCACAAAGCAGUUAUUUCCAUCUUCAGAUCAUUCAGAGAUUAUGAAGGCACAAACCCUGCCUUCAAUUUGCUUAUAGUCAAGUGGAGCAGACACAAGUCAAUGAUUGCAGUAUAGCCACUGAAGUAAUCUAAAAGAGGUGGGGAGGCCACAGCUUAUGUGAAUGACUUUCUCAGGAGUUAUAAAGUGAUACAGACUUAUCAGCAGGUUGCAGGUGAACAUGGCCUUGAGAUGUUUUCUUCUAAAUAAAUGAGAAAGAUGUUUCAACAAAGGCUCUUUAUGCUGAAUAAUUGUGAUGCUUGAAGUUGCUAAUCUGCUUUAAGUGGAUUUUAAAUGUCAGGCAAUUCUAGACAGUUUUUUCUUGGUCAAAUAAAAAUUUAAUUAAAACUUUAUACGUGUUGAGUUUUUAAUCCAUUUAUCCGUGUUCAUACUAACGUGUAGUAUUCCAUAAAGCCUAUUAGAACCCUGAAUUCAAACUUGCCUUCUCUGUGAUAUCCUGUUUCUUACUUGGUAGUUUCUAUUUCAGUAGCUGAGAACUUUUUUUUUUUUUUUUUUUGAGAUGGAGUCUUGAUCUGUGAGCCAUCUCGGCUCACUGCAAGCUCCACCUCCCGGGUUCACGCCAUUCUCCUGCCUCAGCCUCCCGAGUAGCUGGGACUACAGGCGCCCGCCACCAGUCCCGGCUAAUUUUUUUGUAUUUUUAGUAGAGACGGGGUUUCACCGUAUUAGCCAGGAUGGUCUCGAUCUCCUGACCUUGUGAUCCAUCCACCUUGGCCCCCCAAAGUGCUGGGAUUACAGGCGUGAGCCACCGCGCCCGGCCGAGAACAUUUUUAAAUAUACAUGAUAUGUAUCUUUUAAUUGUUUAUAACUGGAACUAUUUCUGUGCUUACAUCUGCUGUCCCUUGUUUCAGAGUAGACAGUCCAGCUUGGCAGGAUAGGUGUGUGUGUGUAUAACGAGUUAUUAAAUUGUCAGUGUGAAUUGUUAAUUCAGGAAUCUGAGCUGCCAUUUAUACGAGUAGGCAGAGUUUAGUAGGAGAUGAGAGUCUUUCAGUUUGUCAGACUUUGCAGGUGCUGGAAAACAUCAGAGGUUUUUUGUUUGUUUGUUUGUUUGUUUUUGAGACAGAGUUGCGCUCUUGUUGCCAAGGCUGGAGUGCAGUGGCACAAUCUCGGCUCACUGCAGCCUCUGCCCCCGGGUUCAAGCAAUUCUCCUGCCUCAGCCUCCUGAGUAGCUGGGAUUACAGGCGCCC
rnacentral:lncRNA from 1 species